rnacentral:rRNA from 1 species
CCUACGGGAGGCAGCAGUGGGGAAUAUUGGACAAUGGGGGAAACCCUGAUCCAGCGACGCCGCGUGAGUGAAGAAGUACUUCGGUACGUAAAGCUCUAUCAGCAGGAAAGAAAAUGACGGUACCUGACUAAGAAGCCCCGGCUAACUACGUGCCAGCAGCCGCGGUAAUACGGAGGGGGCAAGCGUUAUCCGGAUUUACUGGGUGUAAAGGGAGCGUAUACGGGAGCGCAAGUCUGGAGUGAAAUGCUGGGACCAAAGCCCGGUACUGCCAUGGAAACUGUGGCGCUGGAGUGCAGGAGAGGUAAGCGGAAUGCGUGGUGUAGCGGUGAAAUGCAUAGAUAUCAGGAAGAACACCGACGGCGAAGGCAGCUUACUGGAGUGUGACUGACGUUGAGGCUCGAAGGCGUGGGGAGCAAACAGGAUUAGAUACCCGGGUAGUC